ensembl:lncRNA
CAAGAAGCUGCUCUCUGCACAGCAAUUUGGAGCAAUCAGUCUCUGCAGAAUGGCAUCUCCUGCUGUUGGACUCCAGCAGUGACUACUAGCAGUGAAGCCAACCCUCCCACCUGCUCCUGCAAAUCUCGAUCUGCCUUCCUGCUCCUGCUGCUGGUUCAGUAGAGACUUGCUGCACUGCCAGCCUGCAAGGCAAACAGGAGAUGGGCAGGAGGAGGAGUCCACCCUUCCCAGAGGAGCAGACAUAAAGAAUAAGGAGCAAUCGCUUGCCUCUGCAAAUCAAUAAAAGUCAAGAAAUUCCAAAAGGUAGAAGCUUCAGACCAUAGAAAAGACGCUAGAGAUAACAUUUCUCUGCAAUUUUGUCUCUGGCUUUGAGCAAAGCUGACUGACAACAGAAUGAAGUACAAAGGCCUUGGAUAUAAUAUACUGCUCCUGUAGACUGCAAUGGUCUCUGCAGGCUCCAGAAGACCCUUGUGGGUGAAUGCAGAUAAUCGCUGGGAGAAGAAAGGGGAGAAUUUGUAAACCAGGAAAAAACAAUGCUUCAGGCUUUUACAUGUCAUCCAGUCAAAAUCUGUUACGCUACAAAGAUCUUCAGAUGUGUUUGACAUUCCUGCCUACAGUGCUGAGUGUUUAUAUAUGGGCAGAUUACUCCCUAGUGUCCUCUGAAGAUGAUACUGGCCACACUGAAUGAACUGACAUUUUUCAGUAUUCAUUUAAGCCCCAGUUAAUGCUAAAUUCCACCCUUUGAGUUCAAUGAAUCAAAAUUGAAUGCUAAUAAUUACUGUAUUUGCAAUCCCACAGGCUUUACCACCCUUGAGACAGAGCAUAAGCAUUCAAUUAAAGAGGGAUGAAACUCAAAGUGCUGCCUUGUAAAUUGGCCCAAAUAUCAUACAGUAAAUUACGUGUUUUUAAGGUUUACGUGAACUCAUAAGAUAUCUGAGAGAUAUUGUUGCUACGGAGUCCAUUAAGAAGGGGUGAAUUUUUAUCAAUUCUAGUGAAGGCAAAUGGUCUAGACAAAAAGGCUGACACAUUCACUGCAUGAGUAUUAAUAUAGUCUUGAUUGUCUUUUUCUCAGUAUCUUCAUAACUUUUCAUGUGACCUUCCUUGUAAAUCUUUUUAAAACUUUAUCACAGUAGGAAUGAAGUAAAUGUUUGUGGACACUGUCACAGUUCAUUAUACUCCCAUCACAUCCUGAGACCACAUAUUAAUAUCAAUAUCUGAGGAAGAUUCUCAAGCUUUGCUGCUUAAGAUAUCAGCUUUAAAUAAGCUCAGUCUCUUGGGGUGAUUGUUUGGGUUUGAGGAAGGAGAGCAGAUAAAAUCACACAUUUGGCAAGGAAGAUACAAAAGGAACUGCUUUUAGUGAACAAGAAUGAACAUCUUUUCAAAAGGAAGCUUAAACAAAGGACAAAACUUGAAUAAAUUAGUUUAUUUUGUACUUUUUCUACAGAGUGUUUUAAUACUGUCCAGUAGUACAAAUACGAUCAAACAGCCUCUGAUGAUAAAAACCUACCACUAUUUCUAUUUAUUUAUUUUUUAUUGGGCACACAGUACAAGCUCACUUGCAGGUAUUUAGAAUGUACAAAACAAUUUAAGUUUGAGAUCCUUUUUUUCAUGUGUCAGAGCAAUAGGAGAUGUAUUAAAAAGAGGAUCUUUUUCUUUAAUACCUUUAAAAAAUAUAUAUUAUUUUUUUCCAGGCUAUCUGACUAAGUAUAUGGAAUAGAGUAGAACUGUAGAAUCACAGAACCAUAGAAUCAAAUAAUCAUUCUGAGCCAUCUAGUCCAACUAUUGACCCAUCACCGCAAUGCCAACUAAAACAGGUCCCUAAAGAAGUAUGAGAAGCAAGAAGUGAGUUGUAGCUACUGAAAUGUAUGCCCCACCCUACCCCCCCCCCCCCUUUUUUUUCAGAAAAUUUCCCUUUUGUAGAUGUACAUAGUUAUUAGUAUUUAUAAACUCUGUUUUUAAUGUGUAUUUUUCCUUAUCAUACGGUUAUAACAUGUUACUGUCUGUCACUGCAUUUGUAUUUUCAUACAUGCCCCAUCUGUAAACUUCUGGUCAUCUUGUUUUAUUUUGGUAGGAUUUGUAUGUAUGAAGCAAAAUGUGUAUGUGAGAGUAUAAAUAAGCAAAACCAUCAGGAUGGUAAAAUAUUCCUAAGCCUGUGGUGUCGGCCUAAUUUUCCUCCUAUGAAAAUCAGCUGUAAAGCUCCUAUUGCCUUGGGGUAAAGCUAAUCUGUCGCUGAACACCUUUGAAAAUCCCAUCUCUGGUGCCCAGAAAUCUCAUUAUACUACUGUAGGGCAGAAGUAAUUGCUCAUAGCAUAAAGCAAAGUUAUAACUGAGCCAUAAGAAAAUAUGAAAUUGCAAAAUGGUGGAACAUGAACAAAACACAGUUUAGAAGAAAAGAUAGAACUUCUCUGUGAAUCAAGAAUGCAAGUUCCCAGUCUCUGAGUGAAUCAAUGGAUUAUACCUGGAAAGAGAGCAAUUAAAAAGACAAAAAACAAAGCAAAAGUCAGGCACAUAAAAAACAAAAUGACAAAGAAAAAGAAACAACAACAAACAACUGAACCCCACUGAAGUCAACUUGUAAGCAAUUAAAAGUUUUGUACAUGCAUUGAUUUUAAAACAAUACUAUUUUGAACUUUGUAUCGCUGUGCUUGUGACAAGAAUUCAUCUUGAAAAAUGAAACACUUUGAAAUGCAAUUAAAAUCAAUGUCUUUCUUUGACACAGGCCCUUUAAAUACAUUGUGUGUGAUUUGUCUUAAAAAUACACUACUUUCCGAGGAGCCUCAAGCCAGUUCCUGCAAAAAAAGAAGCGUUGGAAAUGUCCUGGUUUCUACAGUGGAAUGACCAGUUUCCCUCCUGCAGGAGACUGUCUGAUUACUGUGGAGGUUGAGUGGUGAGGCACUGGAUCAGGCUGUACACUGAGAAGUGUGGAUACCCCAUCUCUGGCAAAGUUCAAGUCCAGGUUGGAUGGUGCGCUGCUCACUCCUACCUAGUAUGAGGCAACCCUGCCCACAGCAGGGGGUUGGAGCUUAAUGAUCUUUAAUGUCCUUUCCAACAGAAGUCAUUCUAUGAUACUAUGAUUCUAUUCAUCUUUUCUUCAUAUUUUAUUUUAUUUUAUUUUAUUUUAUUUUAUGUUAUUUUAUUUUGAACCUAACUGCAUAGAUACAUACUGUACAUUGUAAUUUAAUUCAAGUACUGUUUAGCUGACUACACAGUAAAAGGUGCUAUUCAGCCUAAAUGAUGGUGUCUCACUCUAAGAGAAUAAAGCUCUAUUGAUUUGCUCUGUAGGGGUUUUUAUUUGUAUUGAAGGUGCUCUAACUUGUGAGGCAGAGCAGCCAUUUUUAAUUAUUACUUGUUGGCAUGGAAAGCAGAGAACUUGCAAUGUAAUGCAGUUUCAAAAUUUUACAUAAACAUCUAUGUUCAUGGACAGAGUCCUUUAUCAUCCCUGAAUAUGAAGAAAAAUCAGCAGAGAACAUAAGAUUACAUAGGUUUAGGAUAAAUAGCACUUGGUAAAUUUGGAAUUAUGUCACACCUCCUCCUCAAACCCUGUGGCAACCUCUAGUCCAACUGGCAAAGCCUGAUCUAGAUGGGCACCAAUUGCAUAGUUCCAUAGAGGAAAAAAAUUCUUCAACUGCUUAGCAUUAGCAUUUUAGUCAGGCAAACUGCCACUUCAUCAAAGUCUUUUACAAAUCUGUCAGCAUAGCAGUCGUGAAUGUUAGAGUUUUCCAGCCAUUUUUGAGAUCAAAUGUUCUCCUUUCUGCCACAUUGUGUAUCCUUCCUUCACACUAUGAUUCUAUUCUCUUAGCACUUGCAAUGAACUUGAUAUUUUUUGUUUGCCACAUGGUCUAAAAAGCCAUUGUUCUCUUCUUUCAUGGGGGUUGCUGAGGCAUUCUUCCUGAAAAAUCUCUCACUUGAAUGCUUGAACUACAUCCCUUGAAAGACAGAAGCUAAGUCACAGAGGUCUCUCAACUCUUGGCUUUGGAG